GACGAACGCUGGCGGCGUGCUUAACACAUGCAAGUCGAACGGUGAUGCUCCAGCUUGCUGGAGUGGAUCAGUGGCGAACGGGUGAGUAACACGUGAGCAACCUGCCCCAGACUCUGGAAUAAGCGCUGGAAACGGCGUCUAAUACUGGAUACGAAACUGGCCCGCAUGGGCAUGGUUUGGAAAGUUUUUCGGUUUGGGAUGGGCUCGCGGCCUAUCAGCUUGUUGGUGAGGUAAUGGCUCACCAAGGCGACGACGGGUAGCCGGCCUGAGAGGGCGACCGGCCACACUGGGACUGAGACACGGCCCAGACUCCUACGGGAGGCAGAAGUGGGGAAUAUUGCACAAUGGGCGAAAGCCUGAUGCAGCGACGCCGCGUGAGGGAUGACGGCCUUCGGGUUGUAAACCUCUUUCAGCAGGGAAGAAGCGAAAGUGACGGUACCUGCAGAAGAAGCACCGGCUAACUACGUG
rnacentral:rRNA from 1 species